GCUAAAGAAGUAUGUAAGGAGCGUAGUAGGUGGCGCUCUGUAGUUUCUGUAUACCAUCAGAUGUAUGAAUGUGGUGGAAGCUAAAGAAGUAUGUUAGGAGCGUAGUAGGUGGCGCUCUGUAGUUUCUGUAUACCAUCAGAUGUAUGAAUGUGGUGGAAGCUAAAGAAGUAUGUAAGGAGCGUAGUAGGUGGCGCUCUGUAGUUUCUGUAUACCAUCAGAUGUAUGAAUGUGGUGGAAGCUAAAGAAGUAUGUAAGGAGCGUAGUAGGUGGCGCUCUGUAGUUUCUGUAUACCAUCAGAUGUAUGAAUGUGGUGGAAGCUAAAGAAGUAUGUAAGAAGCGUAAAAG